AAGAAAGGUAACAUUAUGUUCUUACCCUAGCAUCUAAGCAUGGGAAAGAAGCAAAAGGAAAACUUUCUGUCUUAAGAACAUUGCGUACAGCCAUUAAAGAUGACCAAAAAGUAAACUAUAAAAUUUUCACCUUCUGAAACUGACCAAAUAGUUACUUGGCAAUAAGUUUGUCAUUCUAUUUCAUGUAGGUUCAUGAAUGUAACAUAUGCAUUAUAAUGUACAUGGCAUACGCUAUCAUACAUGCUAAGAAAUCCAACAAGAAAAUCUCACAACAUGAAAAGAAAAUAAGUAACUCGUUAACAUAAACCCAAAAGAGUAGGCAUUUGUGAGAUACAAGUAGCAGAAUAAACAUCAUUCUCCCUCAACAUGGAACUUCAAAAAAUGCCAAAGAAAAGGUCAUAAAAUUUAUACAAUAAAAUAAGGGAUUAGCAUGUACAACACAAAUAGACACAAACGUUAAAAUUCUCUCACAGCACCCAUCAAUCUGUCAGCCAAACAGAUGCUGGUGCCUGGUAUGGAAACAGGCAGUGUUGUCAUUUGCAAUAUAUACAAGGUAUCUAAUAAAGUUUUAAAACGAAAUAAAGAAUAGAGAAAGAAAGGAGGCAACAAGUUCCAAUGGGAUGUCUUUAUCCCAUUACUCAUGCAUAGUUUACAAAUGUG
rnacentral:misc_RNA from 1 species